UGAAUCCCUGAAUUCUCAUGAAACCAAUAUUGCACUGAAUGCAAAUUAACUAAAAUUUAAAUUAAAAUUUUCCUUAAUAAAAAUGUUACAAAAUAUUCUUUGAGGUAUAAGCAGAUUUACAGUAAAAGUAUUGGUAAAAUACAAUGAAUUUUGUCAUUCUGUUUUGUUUCUUUAGGAUUUACAUCCUGACAUUCAGUUCUGUAAUUUUAGGUGUUAGCUAGAGAAGACAUUGAUGAAGCUGUUCAUGCAAUAUUAUUUAGAGAAAAUUACAUUGCCAAGGAAAUUGUAUUUGGAAAUCUUUAUGAUCCUGAAGUAUACAACCCUUUUUAUAUGACAAAAAAGGACCCAAAUUAUGGAAAGGUUAUGUUGCCUUUGUUUUGUGAUUCCCUGUUUAGAAGAUGGCAAGAGAUGGAUGAAGAGAAGAGAGCUGUUUUUCAAAAUAAG